UACGAAGGGGGCUAGCGUUGUUCGGAAUCACUGGGCGUAAAGCGCACGUAGGCGGAUUUUUAAGUCAGGGGUGAAAUCCCGAGGCUCAACCUCGGAACUGCCUUUGAUACUGGAGAUCUUGAGUCCGGAAGAGGUAAGUGGAACUGCGAGUGUAGAGGUGAAAUUCGUAGAUAUUCGCAAGAACACCAGUGGCGAAGGCGGCUUACUGGUCCGGAACUGACGCUGAGGUGCGAAAGCGAUGGGGAGCGUACG
rnacentral:rRNA from 1 species